rnacentral:rRNA from 1 species
CCCUUAGAUGUUCUGGGCCGCACGCGCGCUACACUGAUGCAUUCAACGAGUCGAAAACCUGCUCUGAUAGGGGUGGGUAAUCUUUUGAAUGUGCAUCGUGAUUGGGAUAGAUGAUUGCAAUUUUUCAUCUUCAACGAGGAAUGCCUAGUAAACGCAAGUCAUCAGCUUGCAUUGAUUACGUCCCUGCCCUUUGUACACACCGCCCGUCGCUCCUACCGAUUGAAUGAUCCGAUGAAUAUCAUGGAUUGAGGAUUAUAGCAGGUUCGCCUGUCUUGAUCUUCGAGAAGUGAAGUAAAUCUUAUCAUUUAGAGGAAGGAGAAGUCGUAACA